GCGUUCGUAGUGUAACGGUAGCACAAUCGGCGCGCAUUCGAGAGGUCCAGGUUCGAAUCCUGGUGAAGGCA
rnacentral:tRNA from 1 species